UUGAACGCUGGCGGCAGGCCUAACACAUGCAAGUCGAGCGGAUGAAGGGAGCUUGCUCCUGGAUUCAGCGGCGGACGGGUGAGUAAUGCCUAGGAAUCUGCCUGGUAGUGGGGGAUAACGUCCGGAAACGGGCGCUAAUACCGCAUACGUCCCGAGGGAGAAAGUGGGGGAUCUUCGGACCUCACGCUAUCAGAUGGGCCUAGGUCGGAUUAGCUAGUUGGUGGGGUAAAGGCCUACCAAGGCGACGAUCCGUAACUGGUCUGAGAGGAUGAUCAGUCACACUGGAACUGAGACACGGUCCAGACUCCUACGGGAGGCAGCAGUGGGGAAUAUUGGACAAUGGGCGAAAGCCUGAUACAGCCAUGCCGCGUGUGUGAAGAAGGUCUUCGGAUUGUAAAGCACUUUAAGUUGGGAGGAAGGGCAGUAAGUUAAUACCUUGCUGUUUUGACGUUACCAACAGAAUAAGCACCGGCUAACUUCGUG
rnacentral:rRNA from 1 species